rnacentral:misc_RNA from 1 species
GAUGAAGAACGUAGCGAAAUGCGAUAAGUAAUGCGAAUUGCAGAAUUCAGUGAGUCAUCGAAUCUUUGAACGCACAUUGCGCCCUGUGGUAUUCCGAGGGGCAUGCCUGUUCGAGCGUCAUUAUAACCCCUCAAGCUCAGCUUGGUGUUGGGGCCUGCUGCACUGGCAGCCCUUAAAAUCAGUGGCGGCGCCAUCUGGCUCUAAGCGUAGUAAUUCUUCUCGCCAUGGAGUCCUGGUGGAUGCUUGCCAUCAACCCCCAAUUUUUCUAUGGUUGACCUCGGAUCAGGUAGGGAUACCCGCUGAACUUAAGCAUAUCAAUAAGCGGAGGA